rnacentral:tRNA from 1 species
UCCCCGGUAGCUCAGCUGGCAGAGCAGGUGGCUGUUAACCACCUUGUCGGCGGUUCGAAUCCGUCCCGGGGAGCCA